CGGGAACCUGCGCAGCAACGCCGCGUGGGUGAAGAGGCCUUCGGGUCGUAAAGCCCUUUCGGACGGGACGAACGCUCCGCGGGGACAAGCCGCGGAGUCUGACGGUACCGUAGGAAGAAGCACCGGCUAACUCCGUGCCAGCAGCCGCGGUAAUACGGAGGGUGCGAGCGUUGUUCGGAAUUACUGGGCGUAAAGCGCGUGUAGGCGGCUUUGCAAGCCAGUCGUGAAAGCCCUCGGCUUAACCGGGGAAGUGCGUCUGGAACUGCUUGACUUGAGUACGGGAGAGGGAGGCGGAAUUCCCAGUGUAGAGGUGAAAUUCGUAGAUAUUGGGAGGAACACCGGUGGCGAAAGCGGCCUCCUGGACCGAUACUGACGCUGAGACGCGAAAGCGUGGGGAGCAAACAGGAUUAGAUACCCUGGUAGUCCACGCGGUAAACGAUGGGCACUAGGUGUGGGGGGUAUCCACUCCUCCCGUGCCGAAGCUAACGCAUUAAGUGCCCCGCCUAGGGAGUACGGCCGCAAGGCUA
rnacentral:rRNA from 1 species